AUGUUUGGCAUCUGCUGCCCUCCUAAUGGCCUCUUCUAAGUGUUUGCCAAAGAGGAUAUCCCCUAGAAAGGGUAAGGCACAUAAAUUGUGUUUAGAAGCAAUGUCUGCUCCCCAAGAUCUCAACCAUAGAGAUACCGAAUAUCCCAUAGUCUUAGAAAGAACCUUUAUAAGGUCUGUAGAGGCCUCCGAAAGCCAUUCACUGGCCAAUUUCACCUCUUUCAGGGACUCCGAGAUGUGGUGUUUCUUACACCUCUAUCAAGGUCUUCCGCUAUAUCCAUUAACCAUGCUUUCAUGGCAGAAAUGGC